rnacentral:rRNA from 1 species
AUUGAACGCUGGCGGCAUGCCUUGCACAUGCAAGUCGAACGGUAACAGGUUAAGCUGACGAGUGGCGAACGGGUGAGUAAUACAUCGGAACGUGCCCAGUCGUGGGGGAUAACGUAGCGAAAGUUACGCUAAUACCGCAUACGAUCUACGGAUGAAAGCGGGGGACCGUAAGGCCUCGCGCGAUUGGAGCGGCCGAUGUCAGAUUAGGUAGUUGGUGAGGUAAAGGCUCACCAAGCCGACGAUCUGUAGCUGGUCUGAGAGGACGACCAGCCACACUGGGACUGAGACACGGCCCAGACUCCUACGGGAGGCAGCAGUGGGGAAUUUUGGACAAUGGGCGCAAGCCUGAUCCAGCCAUUCCGCGUGCAGGACGAAGGCCUUCGGGUUGUAAACUGCUUUUGUACGGAACGAAAAGGCCCUGGUUAAUACCUGGGGCUCAUGACGGUACCGUAAGAAUAAGCACCGGCUAACUACGUGCCAGCCGCCGCCGUAA